GUGGGGAAUAUUGCGCAAUGGGCGAAAGCCUGACGCAGCGACGCCGCGUGAGGGAUGAAGGUUUUCGGAUCGUAAAGCUCUUUCGUUAGGGACGAACGUGCUCUUUGUGAAUAAUGAGGAGUAAUGACGGUACCUAAAUAAGAAGCCACGGCUAACUACGUGCCAGCAGCCGCGGUAAUACGUAGGUGGCAAGCGUUGUCCGGAAUUAUUGGGCGUAAAGCGCGCGCAGGCGGGAUAUCAAGUCUGUCUUAAAAGUGCGAGGCUCAACCUCGUGAGGGGACAGAAACUGGUAUUCUUGAGUGUCGGAGAGGAAAGUGGAAUUCCAAGUGUAGCGGUGAAAUGCGUAGAGAUUUGGAAGAACACCAGUGGCGAAGGCGACUUUCUGGACGAUGUCUGACGCUGAGGCGCGAAAGCUAGGGGAGCGAACGGGAUUAGAUACCCCAGUAGUCC
rnacentral:rRNA from 1 species